CCGCCCGUAGCUCAGCGGAGAGAGCAUCGGGCUUCGGACCCGAGGGUCGGGGGUUCAAAUCCCUCCGGGCGGGC
rnacentral:tRNA from 1 species